ACCGCGGCGUCGUGGUGGCGGAGGAGGAGGAGGAGGAGGAAGAAGAGGACGCGAACGACGGCGCCUCGCCGCGCGACAGCGAGCGCUUCUUCUUCUUCUUCCCGUCCUCGACGAUGCCGCCGCCGCCCCGCUUCGGGGACGGCAGGGACAGCUUCCUGGCGAGCGACUGGAUGGACAGCUUCAUCUCCGUCUCCGUCUCCUGUGGCGCCGCUGCGUGGCGAAUGGGACACGGAGGAGACCGGAUCCGAUCCGAGGGGCUUUGGCUUGGGUGGAGGACAGGAGGAGGGAUGGAGAGGACGGGGAGGCGGGAGGUGGGUGAUAAAAAGGCGUGCGGUGCGGGCGGGGACGGGCAGCUUCGUGGAAGCUUCGUGGUCGAUGUCGUGCAGGCGAUUUUUCGGCUUCGUCUCC
rnacentral:misc_RNA from 1 species